rnacentral:tRNA from 1 species
CUCGGCUGUUAACCGAUAGGUCGUAGGUUCGAGCCCUACAUUGGCCGCCA